UGUAAGUGCUGCUUGACUGCAGUUUGCUCUCAUUUCAAGUGGUUUGCUGUCACAAAGCCAACAGGAAGUCCGGCCAUGGUUGAGCCAACUGAAGAUGGGUUGAAGGUGGCGUCCUCGUUUCCUCUCGAUACAUGUUGGAAAAUGGAGACUUUAGCCACCAAGACUGACGUGCCUGGAAACUUCCCUUCACGGGGUUUGUGACUGAAAUGCGUGUGGUCGACGGGAAGCCUGACGAGUACGGCCUGAAUCAUUCCAUCAACACCGGACGGAGUGAAACCUUUGUUGAAAACAGAUUAUAUGAGGAGUGUCCGCCUGAGUGUUUUGUCUGAUCUGUUGUUGAUCGUCUCAUUGACACUGCAUGCAGAUCUGACACCAGGGCUGGACUGGGACAAAAAAUGGUCCCGGGCAUUUUGACUGGAGACCGGCCCCCCAGGAAGUAGACUGUUGGUCGAGUUAACCUCCUGAACAUCUACAACACACGGUGGAAACCUGACAUUAAGACAGAGACUAGAGGUGAGACAUGAUCAUUGCUGAUUACUGAUGACAGAUUUAGAUAUGUUUUCAUAAACCUUUCAUUUGCCACAUCAAUAAACAGCACGGCAGGGCAAAAUAUGUUUUCUAACAUGGCAACCUUUAAAAAGUGAAAGGAGACAGAAAGACAGCUGAGAAAGAAUCAAACGGACUUUUUGAUGCAUUUUACACACAGUACUGGUGCAGAAUCUAGAAAAUGUG